GAUGAACGCUAGCGGCAGGCUUAAUACAUGCAAGUCGUGGGGCAGCAGGGUUGUAGCAAUACAAUCGCUGGCGACCGGCAAACGGGUGCGUAACACGUACGCAACCUUCCCGUUACUGUGGCAUAGCCCAGGGAAACUUGGAUUAAUACCACAUAUUGUAUUGAGGGGGCAUCCUCUUGAUAUCAAAGCUUCGGCGGUAACGGAUGGGCGUGCGGUUGAUUAGGUAGUUGGCGGGGUAACGGCCCACCAAGCCUACGAUCAAUAGCUGAUGUGAGAGCAUGAUCAGCCACACGGGCACUGAGACACGGGCCCGACUCCUACGGGAGGCAGCAGUAAGGAAUAUUGGGCAAUGGACGAAAGUCUGACCCAGCCAUGCCGCGUGAAGGAUUAAGGUCCUCUGGAUUGUAAACUUCUUUUCUCUGGGGCGAAAACCAGCUAUUCUUAGCUAUUUGACAGUACCAGAGGAAUAAGCACCGGCUAACUCCGUGCCAGCCGCCGCAGUAAAAC
rnacentral:rRNA from 1 species